rnacentral:misc_RNA from 1 species
GAAAUGCGAUAAGUAAUGCGAAUUGCAGAAUUCAGUGAGUCAUCGAAUCUUUGAACGCAUAUUGCGCCCUUUGGUAUUCCGAAGGGCAUGCCUGUUCGAGCGUCAUUAUCACAGUAUCAAGCUUGGCUUGUUGUUGGGCCCCUUUGUCGCCAGGUGACAGGUCCGAAAGACAAUGACCGGUGGAACAGACUCCAUAUGCAACGAGCUUAUAACAGCACGCAUCUGGCAGUUGUGUGACCCGGUUUUAACCCAUAUACAUACUUUUUCAAGGUUGACCUCGGAUCAGGUAGGAAUACCCGCUGAACUUAA